rnacentral:rRNA from 1 species
UACGAAGGGGGCUAGCGUUGCUCGGAAUGACUGGGCGUAAAGGGCGCGUAGGCGGCUUGCACCGUCAGAUGUGAAAUUCCUGGGCUUAACCUGGGGGCUGCAUUUGAUACGUGUGGGCUUGAGUGCGGAAGAGGGUCGUGGAAUUCCCAGUGUAGAGGUGAAAAUUCGUAGAUAUUGGGAAGAACACCGGUGGCGAAGGCGGCGACCUGGUCCGUGACUGACGCUGAAGCGCGAAAGCGUGGGGAGCAAACAGG